rnacentral:rRNA from 1 species
GACGAACGCUGGCGGCGUGCCUAAUACAUGCAAGUCGAGCGAAGUUUUUCUGGUGCUUGCACCGGAAAAACUUAGCGGCGCACGGGUGAGUAACACGUAAAGAACCUGCCUCAUAGACUGGGACAACUAUUGGAAACGAUAGCUAAUACCGGAUAACAGCAUUAACUGCAUGGUUGAUGUUUAAAAGUUGGUUUUGCUAACACUAUGAGAUGGCUUUGCGGUGCAUUAGCUAGUUGGUGGGGUAAAGGCCUACCAAGGCGACGAUGCAUAGCCGACCUCAGAGGGUGAUCGGCCACACUGGGACUGAGACACGGCCCAGACUCCUACGGGAGGCAGCAGUAGGGAAUCUUCCGCAAUGGGCGAAAGCCUGACGGAGCAACGCCGCGUGAGUGAAGAAGGAUUUCGGUUCGUAAAGCUCUGUUGUUAGGGAAGAAUGAUUGUGUAGUAACUAUACACAGUAGAGACGGUACCUAACCAGAAAGCCACGGCUAACUACGUG